GACGGGGGGGGGCAAGUGUUCUUCGGAAUGACUGGGCGUAAAGCGCGCGUAGGCGGCCUCAUAAGUCCGUUGUGAAAGUCAAAGGCUCAACCUUUGAAAGCCGAUGGAUACUGUGAGGCUAGAGUCCGGAAGAGGCGAGUGGAAUUCCUGGUGUAGCGGUGGAAUGCGCAGAUAUCAGGAGGAACACCAAUAGCGAAGGCAGCUCGCUGGGACGGUACUGACGCUAAGGCGCGAAAGUGUGGGGAGCGAACAGG
rnacentral:rRNA from 1 species